rnacentral:lncRNA from 1 species
CAUCAGACACGAAGGAGAGGCCAACAGAUGAGGGAAGCCAUUUUUCUGCAAUGGAAUUAAAUGGCCAAAGCAGUAAACAGUCCUCAGCGAAGCCGCCUUUUUGCCUACCCAACCCUGGAAAGUUUGCAGAAGUGGAAGGAGCAGAACGUGAGGGUGUAACUUACAAAAAGGUUCUGGGCCGGAGAAGGGGCGACGUUCGGGCACCCCCCGAAUGGACAAUCUUUCCUUCUGUCAACGGCAGGGGCAGGCCUAGUUUGACUCUGACAGUCCUCCCACUAAGGAAUUCCUGGUGACUGGAAGGGGGAGUGACUCAGGCCCUCAACCUCUAGCAGGUAAGGGAGCUACCUCCUGGGUGGGCAUGCCCAGUUCCUCAGUGGGCCCAGCGCGGCCCAGCCUCCGAGGAAGCUCUGAGCAGCUGGCUUGGCUCCGAGGUAUUUUUAGCUACAGAUCCAGCCCCCCUCCAUCACCACAACAGUCGAGUCCAAAUCAAACGCGCUCCAGGCAGGUGGGGCUGGGGUUCUGCCAGCCUCCUGGCCAGCAGGGGUGGGUGGGCAGACUGGGGCCAGUAUCAGCUGUUCUGCCUGGACCCAGGCCGGGCUGGGAAGGCACACUUGUGCUUAUUUCCCGCCUCCACUUCUGUGCAAGCUUGUGCUGUCAUAAGCAGAGAUCACAGCCCCAUUUCUUGGAUGGAGAAAGUGGACACUGAGGUCUGAGGCUUUUGAGGACAGUCAGGAGCCCUCCUAUGGGCUCCAGUGAUGCACUCACCAGCUUCUGGUCCUCUUCUUCCACCUCUUAGAGUGCCUUGGCUCCCUCCUGUCGUCCUGGGGAACCUCGGCCCCAGCCCUGCCUCCCCAGCCAGUCACAGCUCCUCCCUGGUCACCCUGAGGGAGCUCAGGGCCCGGCUGGUAGCUGGGUUGCUCUGCUUCUGUCCCCCACUCCUGUGGAGCCUGGCAGGCAACUCCAUGAUCUGACCCCGGUUACCUUGACAGCCCUGCCUGGCCUCCCCUCUCAUGGCCCAGCCACCCCAGAACCUGAAGAGGUUUUCUAGCUGCCGUGCAUUUGCCAGGCUGGGUUACCCACCCUACUUUCCCUGCCUGCCCUCCAGUGCUGCCAGGCCUAGUGUGCCAGCCAGCGCUCAGCCUUCAGUAAAGGGUUCCCCUGCUUCCAACCUCCAUUGCACUGCUUCCCCUAAGACUGUGACCUCCUGGAAGGCUGGAGCACAACUGCCUCUCAAUAAACGUGUUGCAAAAAAGGAA